AAUAGGUUCGAGGUGGAAACAUGGCGACAUGUGGAGCUGACGAAUACUAAUCGAUCGAAGACUUAAUCAAUUU
rnacentral:rRNA from 1 species